CGAGUGGCGAACGGGUGAGUAACGCGUGAGGAACCUGCCUCAAAGAGGGGGACAACAGUUGGAAACGACUGCUAAUACCGCAUAAGCCCACGGGUCGGCAUCGACCAGAGGGAAAAGGAGCAAUCCGCUUUGAGAUGGCCUCGCGUCCGAUUAGCUAGUUGGUGAGGUAAUGGCCCACCAAGGCAACGAUCGGUAGCCGGACUGAGAGGUUGAACGGCCACAUUGGGACUGAGACACGGCCCAGACUCCUACGGGAGGCCAGCAUG
rnacentral:rRNA from 1 species